UGUCAGCCCUACCAUUCAAAGUCAACGCAAUGUGACGAAUAACGCUGACGCAACAAUAGUUCUUGCGGUAGAAGUCAAAUUUAUAAAUGCCCAAGACACGUCAGGACUGAGAGGUGAAUCUCUCUGGGAGCUGUCUGCCUGGAUUGCUCCUGUAAACACUACUCACAGUCACACCAGGAUAGGUUUCACCGAGCAAGUUCUCAAUGUUGAUCAGGCAUCGCAGAGGUACAUAAAAAA